rnacentral:rRNA from 1 species
CUCUCGCAUCGAUGAAGAACGCAGCGAAAUGCGAUAAGUAAUGUGAAUUGCAGAAUUCAGUGAAUCAUCGAAUCUUUGAACGCACCUUGCGCCCUUUGGCUAUUCCGAAGGGCAUGCCUGUUUGAGUAUCAUGAACACCUCAACUCUCAUGGUCCACCAUGAUGAGCUUGGACUUUGGAGGUAUUGCCGGCCCAAUUGUCGGCUCCUCUCAAAUGGAUCAGCUUGCCAGUGUUUGGUGGCAUCACGGGUGUGAUAACUAUCUACGCUCGUGGUUUUCCACCAUGUAACCUUCAGCGAUGGAGGUUCGCUGGAGCUCACAGACGUCUCUCCUCAGGGAGGACAGCUUUUUGAACGUUUGAUCUCAAAUCAGGUAGGACUACCCGCUGAACUUAAGCAUAUCAAUAAGCGGAGGAAAAGAAACUAACAAGGAUUCCCCUAGUAACUGCGAGUGAAGCGGGAAGAGCUCAAAUUUAAAAUCUGGCGUGCCUUUGGUCGUCCGAGUUGUAGUCUGGAGAAGCGUUUUCCGUGUUGGACCGUGUAUAAGUCUCUUGGAACAGGGCGUCAUAGAGGGUGAGAAUCCCGUCUUUGACACGGACUACCAAUGCUUUGUGAUGCGCUCUCAAAGAGUCGAGUUGUUUGGGAAUGCAGCUCAAAAUGGGUGGUAAAUUCCAUCUAAAGCUAAAUAUAGGCGAGAGACCGAUAGCGAACAAGUACCGUGAGGGAAAGAUGAAAAGCACUUUGGAAAGAGAGUUAAACAG